GAAAAGCCAGAAAAAAUCAACGGGGUUUAAUAUCUCUCUCUCACACACAGAGAGCUAGGGUUCCCGCCCGGAUCUGCUCCGCCUCGCCGUCGGCUAGCCUCGGCCGCGCGAAGCCAUGGACUUCGACGAGUACGAGUACCUGGAGAAGACGGUGGAAGCGUCCGGGGCGCCGGGCAACGGCGCCGCGGUCCUCGAGUCGGGGGAGAAGGAGAAGAACAAGGAGCGCAACUCCCGCCGCCGCUCUUCGGGCGGCGACGAAGAGCGCGACGACGCCGAGCGCAGAUCCAAGCGUUCUCGUUCCGAGGAAGGCCGCGACCGCGAUAGGGAGCGGCACCGGCAGCGGGACCGCGACCGGCACCGCAGCAGCCGGGAGCGGCGGGACAGGGACCGUGAUGACAAGGAGAAAGAGCGGGAGAGGGAUAAGGACAAGGAGAGGAGGAGCCGCGACCGCGAAAGAGAAAAGGAGAAAGAGAGGGAGAGGGAGAGGGAGAAGGAGAGGCAGCGGAGGAGCCGGAGCCGGUCGGAGCGGCGACGUGAUGAGGAAGAGCGUGAUCGCUACCGUGACCGCGAUGUCAGGCGUAGGAAAGAGGAGGCCGUGGAACCCGAAGUUGAUCCUGAGAGAGAUCAGAGGACUGUGUUUGCUUACCAGUUAUCUUUGAAGGCAGAUGAAAGAGACGUAUAUGAGUUCUUUUCUAGGGCUGGAAAGGUGCGGGAUGUUCGCCUCAUUAUGGAUCGAAACUCACGACGUUCUAAAGGAGUUGGGGCUUGCUGUUGCACUUCAGCCUGCUUGCUCUUGGAAAUUGAAUAACCCAAAAUUGGUACAUUGAAUUCUAUGAUGCUAUGUCUGUUCCAAUGGCGAUAGCUCUUUCCGGUCAGCUGCUUCUUGGUCAACAAGUGAUGGUCAAGCCUUCAGAGGCUGAAAAGAACUUAGUUCAGUCAACUGCUUCUUCAAGUGGAGCUGCUUCCGGUGGAGCAAGGAAGUUGUAUGUUGGGAAUCUUCACUCCAACAUCAAUGAGGAUCAAUUGCGACAGGUAUUCGAACCAUUUGGACAAGUGGAGCUUGUCCAGCUGCCACUGGAUCCACUCACUGGGCUAUGCAAAGGAUUUGGUUUUGUGCAGUUUGCACGCCUUGAAGACGCAAAAGCGGCUCAGAGUUUAAAUGGGCAACUUGAUAUUGCAGGAAGAGUAAUUAAGGUUUCAGCUGUGACAGAUCAAGUGGGUGUGCAAGUUAGUGGAGCAACCACCGGAGAUUUGGAUGAUGAUGAAGGUGGAGGUUUGGCACUGAAUGCUAGUUCCAGAGCUCUUCUAAUGCAGAAAUUGGACCGUAGUGGCAUUACAACCAGGAUUCAUCCACCACUACAGCAACACUGUUUCCAUAUAUGUCUAGCUUGUCAAGUUUGACUGGUGGGAUGGGCCCUACUGGUUUGAAUACUCCGGUGGGAAUACCAACUGUAUCCAUCCUUGGUGCUGCUCCUGCUGCAGCUCCUGUUCUGCGCCCUACAGUGCCUGGUCUUGGUUCAAUUCCUGGGGCAACGCUCCCCAUUACCCCAUCUAUUGAAUUGGCACCACCUAGUGAAUGCCUAUUGCUCAAGAAUAUGUUCGAUCCAGCUUUGGAGACGGAUCCUGAUUUUGAUUUGGAUAUUAGGGAUGAUGUUCAAGAGGAGUGUUCCAAGUUUGGCCAAUUAAAACACAUUUUUGUGGACAAAAAUACGGAGGGUUUUGUGUACCUUCGGUUUGAUAGUAUAACAGCAGCUAUGAGUGCACAGAAAGCACUUCAUGGAAGAUGGUUUGCGGGGAAGAUGAUUACAGCAACUUUUAUGACGCCCCACCAGUAUGAGAUGAAGUUCCCGAGCUAGUGGGCAGAUGCUUGGUUAAACUGGAUAUAGUUGCUAGGUCUCAUGUAUGGACAUAUCUACCUUACAGUAUUCGAGCAUAGUCGUGUUAACUAUUAGUGGAGAAAAAUGAUUUAGUGGCUUUGUCGCGUAACGUUAUGUCAUCAAGCAGUUUGUAAUCAUGUGCUGCCUGGGUAAUUAGCAUUUCGAUUCAAAGCGUGUGUAAGUGCUGCAAUUUUGUUUGCGCGAACGUGUAUUCCAGAAGGGACCAGCAUAGUGUCUGUAAGGUUAUCAUUAUUUAUUUAAGUAGCAAAAAUAGGUCGCGUUCGCUU